rnacentral:tRNA from 1 species
GACCGAAUGGCGUAGUGGUUAGUGACCCUGACUACUGAGAAGAUGGUCCCGGGUUCGAUUCCCGGCUGGGGCA